UUCGUCCAGUUGCAGAUACUACUAUCCUUUUUGGAAUGAUCUGCCUUUGAAAAACAAAGGUUCUAUCUGACAAAAGCGAACAGAUCCUGUAGUUGUAAUUGAUACACUAAAUCAGUGUUUCUCAACCUUUUUUUUAGGCGAGGCACCCUUUCAAUUCAUGGAAAAUUUCAAGGCACCCCAAACCAAGUAGCCAUAUAGUAUCACAUCCGAUACCACACAAGCUUAGAAUGUAACACAUUUGGAGACACACAACCUAGUAGCACGACCUAUACGUUCAAAGUUGCAGCUGGGGUGACCAAUAUUUACUUUAUUGUGCGUAAAUGGCAGAUCAAAGAUUCCACUGACUAACAUUAACUUAUCAAUUUUGACAAAUAUGUUUUAUGUUAUAUAAUUUAUUUAUCAGCCACGUUUCCGCGGCACCCCUGAGGGGGCCCUACGGCACCCCAGGGUGCCCCGGCACCCCAGUUGAGAAACACUGCACUAAAUUAUGAUAUUCCUAUGUGUGCGCGCGCACGCGCCAUGUUUUCAAUUCAACACACUGGGACACUUUUCAGUCUUUGAGGUUGCUGGAAUCAACACAGACUACCUCCAUGCACCUUAUCAGAACACUUUGCAUGUUUUUGUAUACUUGUCCCCUUUGUGUAUUGCUGCUAAUCUUUCUCUUUCUAGGUUCUGUUGGUUGCAUGCAGAUUGUGCCAGAUGAUUUAUCUGUCUAUGGUCUAAGCAUGGGCUCUGUGCUAAUAUGCAAUUUGUGCUCUUUUUUCCCUCAGGUCAACAGCCGACAGGGUCCUUCCACAACCACAUACUUAUGCCAGUAAAAGCCACAGCUUUUCUCCUCCAAUCCAAGAAGCCUGGACUGCAGUCACCAUCUCAACACACCAACCAAGAGAAAGGCGGAUGGCUCAAUUCAAUAUGGAAAAUUGCACAAUAAAAGUUCCAGGACAUGAAGGCUGCAUACUGUGAACGUCAACCUUCAGGGCACCGUCCUGCGCAGAAGACUUUCUACCCUAAGAGGGAUGGCUGACCGCAGACACUCACAACCAGCACAGACGCCUCCAACCUCAAACUAGGCCCUUCACAGUUGCUGCACUUACCCACCUUCCCAGAGUUUUUGUGUGGUAAUGACAACUGUAAAUAUAGUAUAAAGUAAUGUAUCUAGUGUCAUGUGUAAUGCAUUGUUUAAAUUGUCCAUACAUUUCAAUGACAGUAAA